AUGGCCAAGUCCAGCGCGGACGACGCGGAGCUGCGCCGGGCCUGCGCGGCCGCCGUGGCGGCCUCCGGCGCGCGCGGCGAGGAGGUGUCCUUCUCCAUCCGCGUCGCCAAGGGCCGCGGCAUCUUCGAGAAGCUCGGCCGCCUCGCCAAGCCCCGCGUCCUCGCGCUCACCACUAAACAUUCGUCAAAAGGCGAGCCAGAUAAAGCUUUUCUCCGAGUAUUGAAAUAUUCAUCAGGGGCAGUACUCGAGCCAGCUAAACUUUACAAGUUGAAACAUCUUACAAAGGUUGAGGUUAUUUCAAGUGACCCUAGUGGUUGCACAUUUGUUCUGGGGUUUGAUAACCUUAGGAGUCAGACUGUUGCUCCUCCACAAUGGACCAUGCGAAACAUUGAUGACAGGAAUCGUCUACUUUUUUGUAUCUUGAACAUCUGCAAGGAGAUACUUAGUUAUCUUCCAAAAGUUGUUGGAAUUGAUAUUGUGGAGUUAGCUCUCUGGGCAAAGGAAAAUACAUUGACACUGGAUAACCAAGAGAAUAACAACCAAGAAGGGCAAGAAACAUCUGUUGCUACUCAGACCGAGAGGAAAGUAACGGCAAAAGUUACUGUUGAAAAUGAUCUUGUAUCUCAAGCAAAGGACGAGGAGGAGGACAUGGAGGCACUUCUUGACACGUAUGUUAUGGGCAUUGGUGAAGCCGAUGCUUUCUCGGAGAGAUUGAAGCAGGAGCUUGUUGCUUUGGAAGCAGCUAAUGUCUAUCAGUUGCUGGAAAGUGAGCCUUUAAUAGAGGAGGUUUUGCAGGGUAUUGAUGCUGCUAGUGCAACCAUAGAUGAUAUGGAUGAGUGGUUGCGAAUUUUCAAUCUGAAGCUGAGGCAUAUGAGAGAAGAUAUUUCGUCGAUCGAAUCACGUAACAAUGGCUUGGAGAUGCAAUCUGUAAAUAAUAAAGGACUAGUUGAAGAGCUGGAGAAAUUGCUUGAACGGUUGCGAAUUCCGCAGGAGUUUGCAGCAUCAUUAACUGGAGGUUCAUUUGAAGAGUCACGUAUGCUGAAAAAUGUUGAGGCUUGUGAAUGGUUGACUGGGGCUAUUCGCUGCCUUGAAGUGCCCAAUUUGGACCCAUCCUAUGUUAAUAUGCGGGCUGUUAGGGAAAAAAGAGCAGAACUGGAGAAGCUGAAAAUAACUUUUGUUCGACGGGCAUCAGAGUUCUUGAGGAACUACUUCUCUAGCUUGGUGGACUUUAUGAUAAGCGACAAAAGCUACUUUUCUCAGCGAGGGCAAUUGAAGCGGCCUGAUCAUGCAGACCUAAGGUACAAAUGCAGGACCUAUGCUCGACUUCUUCAGCACUUAAAGAGUCUGGACAAGAGCUGUUUAGGCCCCUUAAGGAAGGCAUACUGUCAUUCUCUUAAUUUAUUACUUCGUCGAGAGGCACGUGAAUUUGCAAAUGAACUCCGUGCAAGUACGAAAGCACCAAAAAAUCCAGCUGUUUGGCUUGAAGGUUCUAAUAGUGGUGGCCAGAAUGGCAGUAGUGCUGAUACUUCAACAGUAUCUGAUGCAUACUCAAAGAUGCUUACAAUAUUUAUCCCGCUACUUGUGGAUGAGAGUUCCUUUUUUGCACAUUUUAUGUGCUUUGAAGUACCUGCACUUGUUCCAGCUGGUGCUCCGAACGUUAACAAGCGUAGAUCUGGAGCAAAUGACCCAGAUGAUGAUGACCUGAGUCUUAUGGAUCCGGAUGGCAAUGAUAUCAAACCAGAUAAUACGUCUGUGGAGUUGGGUACGUUGAAUGAUGCUCUUCAAGAACUGCUCGACGGAAUCCAGGAAGACUUUUAUGCAGUUGUAGAUUGGGCGUACAAGAUUGAUCCCUUGCGUUGCAUUUCGAUGCAUGGUAUUACAGAACGUUACCUUUCUGGUCAGAAAGCUGAUGCUGCAGGCUUUGUUCGCAAACUACUUGAUGACCUGGAGUCAAGAAUAUCAGUACAGUUUAGCAGGUUCAUCGAUGAAGCUUGCCAUCAAAUUGAGCGUAAUGAAAGAAAUGUGCGUCAAACGGGAAUUCUAGCCUACAUCCCAAGAUUUGCUGUCCUUGCAUCACGGAUGGAGCAAUAUAUUCAAGGGCAAUCUAGAGAUUUGAUUGAUAAAGCAUACACAAAGCUCGUUAGCACAAUGUUCACAACUUUGGAGAAAAUUGCACAAAGUGAUCCUAAAACUGCGGAUAUUGUACUGAUCGAGAAUUAUGCUGCUUUCCAGAACAGUCUUUAUGACUUGGCUAAUGUUGUGCCAACUCUUGCAAAGUUCUACCACCAGGCUAGCGAAUCCUAUGAACAAGCUUGCACUCGUCAUAUCAGCUCACUCAUUUAUCUUCAAUUCGAGAGGCUGUUUCAGUUUUCUCGAAAAGUCGAUGAAUUGACAUACACAAUAGCUGCUGAGGAGAUACCUUUUCAGCUUGGGUUGUCAAAAACUGAUCUAAGGAGGGUGCUGAAAUCAUGUUUAUCUGGGAUUGACAAGUCAAUUGGUGCCAUGUACAGAAGAUUGCAGAAGACAUUGACUUCUGAUGAAUUGUUUCCCUCGCUAUGGGACAAAUGCAAGAAAGAGUUUCUGGACAAGUACGAGAGCUUUGUCCAGAUGGUAACACGAAUCUACGGAAACGAGCCUAUAAUGCCGGUUGCCGAGAUGAGGGACACCCUUGCUAGCUUCUAG
rnacentral:rRNA from 1 species